rnacentral:rRNA from 1 species
CCUACGGGCGGCUGCAGUGGGGAAUAUUGGACAAUGGGGGGAACCCUGAUCCAGCCAUGCCGCGUGUGUGAAGAAGGCCCUCGGGUUGUAAAGCACUUUCAGUGAGGAAGAACGCCUGGUGGUUAAUACCCAUCAGGAAAGACAUCUCACAGAAGAAGCACCGGCUAACUCCGUGCCAGCAGCCGCGGUAAUACGGAGGGUGCGAGCGUUAAUCGGAAUUACUGGGCGUAAAGCGCGCGUAGGUGGCUUGAUAAGCCGGUUGUGAAAGCCCCGGGCUCAACCUGGGAACGGCAUCCGGAACUGUCAAGCUAGAGUGCAGGAGAGGAAGGUAGAAUUCCCGGUGUAGCGGUGAAAUGCGUAGAGAUCGGGAGGAAUACCAGUGGCGAAGGCGGCCUUCUGGACUGACACUGACACUGAGGUGCGAAAGCGUGGGUAGCAAACAGGAUUAGAUACCCGGGUAGUC